rnacentral:rRNA from 1 species
GACGCCGGCGGCGUGCCUAAUACAUGCAAGUCGAACGGUCUUUCUAUGGAAGCUUGCUUCCACUGAGAAGAUAGUGGCGAACGGGUGAGUAACACGUGGGUAACCUGCCCAUAAGAGGGGGGAUAACAUCCGGAAACGGGUGCUAAUACCGCAUAGUUUUCUUGAUUACAUGAUUGAGAAAGGAAAGACGGCCUUUGUGCUGUCGCUUAUGGAUGGACCCGCGGCGUAUUAGUUAGUUGGUGAGGUAACGGCUCACCAAGACGAUGAUACGUAGCCGACCUGAGAGGGUGAUCGGCCACAUUGGGACUGAGACACGGCCCAAACUCCUACGGGAGGCAGCAGUAGGGAAUCUUCCGCAAUGGACGAAAGUCUGACGGAGCAACGCCGCGUGAGUGAAAGAAGGUUUUCGGAUCGUAAAACUCUGUUGUCAGAGAAGAACAAGUUGGAGAGUAACUGCUCCAGCCUUGACGGUAUCUGACCAGAAAGCCACGGCUAACUACGUGCCAGCCGCCGC